rnacentral:tRNA from 1 species
GUGCUUUUAAUUCAGUUUGGUAGAAGGUGGGUCUUCAAAACUCGAUGUCGUAGGUUCAAAUCCUAUAAAGCAUA